rnacentral:rRNA from 1 species
GAUGAACGCUGGCGGCGUGCCUAAUACAUGCAAGUCGAGCGAACAGACGAGGAGCUUGCUCCUUUGACGUUAGCGGCGGACGGGUGAGUAACACGUAGGUAACCUACCUAUAAGACUGGGAUAACUUCGGGAAACCGGAGCUAAUACCGGAUAAUAUUUCGAACCGCAUGGUUCGAUAGUGAAAGAUGGCUUUGCUAUCACUUAUAGAUGGACCUGCGCCGUAUUAGCUAGUUGGUAAGGUAACGGCUUACCAAGGCAACGAUACGUAGCCGACCUGAGAGGGUGAUCGGCCACACUGGAAAUGAGACACGGUCCAGAAUCCUAAGGGAGGCAGCAGUAGGGAAACUUCCGCAAUGGGCGAAAGCCUGAAGGAGCAAAGGCGCGUGAGUGAUGAAGGGCUUCGGAUCGUAAAACUCUGUUAUUAGGGAAGAACAAACGUGUAAGUAACUGUGCACGUCUUGACGGUACCUAAUCAGAAAGCCACGGCUAACUACGUG